UCAAAUACAACUACAACUACCACCAUCCAUCGCAUCGAGUGGCGUCCCAGUGUGUGUUGGGGUCUCAGCUGCCGCUUGCCGCCUGCCGUGUCGUAGAGUCGUUUUGUUGGUUGUCGCGUUCGUGUGCGCGCACAGAAAACAGCAGCAGCAGCCAGCAGCCAGCAGCAGCAAAUCGCAGUCGCAAUAAUAGCCACAAUAUAGUAUUCCGCUGAAGUCCCCCAGUUUCGAAUCAUCUGCCGCUGCAGUUGCAAGCAAGUGGAGUGCGCCGGCCAUAACUCAACUCAAUAAUCAUACAAUAUAAUCAUAAGCAACAGCAGCAGCAGUUGGCUGAAUUGCAUUUUGUUAAAUCGACGAUGGCUGUGUGGAAUGCAAUUUGACGAUUAUAUAAUUAAUACGAUGUUGGUGCCUUCAAAAUCCAAUAAGUAUCCAACAACAAAGCAAAACAACAACAAAAAAAGCAACAACAAAAG